AGGCUCCGGCCGCAGCUCCACCCGCAGGGGCCGUGGGAAGCGGGCGCUCCGGGGAGGAUGCCGCGCCCAGUAGGGGUCGACCCGAAGAGGGGGUCCCCUCCGGGGGGGGACCUGCCCGGGGCUGGGCGAGGGUAUGAGUUCCCGGCUCCCCCACAUCCAUCACCCUCAGGCCACGCUGAGCUUCCUGGACGCGGAAGCCUAGGCCCCAGCACCGCUGCACCUGCCGGCCGGGCACCCCACUAACGCGGCAUCCCGAGAAGGGCCGACUUCCAGGACGACGCAGCUGCGUGCACACAGCCCCCCUUGGCCCGGUGCGGCGGCCCGCAGGGGAGAACGAGCUUGCAGGGUGCGGGUGCGGGCCGCUGGGGCCGAUCUGGCGUCGCAGAACCCGGGGUCCACACCGUCCAGGCUGCGGCCGCGACGACCCCCUGCCAGGCGCCGGUCUCCUCCGGGAGGGCUCCAGCCCGCGCCACCUCCAGGCACAGGGCGCCCUCGUAACUCCCAAUGAAAGUCCUGCGGGAAACGGUUCCCGACCUCGCCAGGCUGGGGGCAGAAGCGACGGGAUGACGCGGAUUGUAAUCGGAAGGUCAGCCUGUCCUGGCCACGCCAGGAAAUGUAAAAUUUAAAGCACAUUUACAUUUUACAGCCCUCCAAUUCCCAAUUCCCUUUUCUCUGCACGCUGACCCAACUUGGUAACGUGAGCUCGCGCCUGUGAGCACUCACCUUCCCGCCGUGACCCGGGCCCAGGGCUUCAGGGCAGGAGUUGUCAGGAGGGUGUGCAGCAGGGAAAAUGGGUGCUGAGGAGCCGAAGGACGACUUGGGAGGGAUAGGGGAGAAGGAAAAGAGGGGCCGAGCAAAGGCCUAGAGAACCGCUGGGGAAGAAACGUUGAACUUAAGAUGAACAGAGGCCAAGCUGUCUUUGAUUGACAGCAUCUCAGGCUCACAAAAGCAACUUUCAAAGAUAAUGAAAUGCCUACCUUUCAAUAGCUUGUUUUCUCCCUGUAACGCUUAUUUAAAUGUUGUUAUAACAAUUCUUUCUUUCUUUCUUUUUUUUUUUUUUGAGAUGGAGUCUCGCUCUGUCGCCCAGGCUGGAGUGCAAUGGCGCGAUCUCGGCUCACCGCGACCUCUGCCUCCCGGGUUCCAGCGAUUCUCCUGCCUCAGCCUCCCGAGUAGGUGGGAUUACAGGCACCUGCCACCAUGCCCGGCUCAUUUUUGUAUUUUUAGUAGAGUCGGGGUUUCACCAUGUUAGCCAGCCUGGUUUCGAACUCCUGACCUCAAAUGAUCUGCCUGCCUUGGCCUCCGAAAGUGCUGGGAUUACAGGUGUGAGCCACCGCGCCUGGCCUAUCACAAUUCUUGAUUGUUUAAAGUGCAAUUAUUUGGAGAAAAUAAUUUUAAAUGUUCUCUGGGAAUUUAUUGUAGAAAGCAGUUAGACUUUUACCAGUGGUCACAACUUCACUGAUGAGAAUGAUAACCCAUUAAUAAAACAGCCCUCUUCUUCUGAGACUUGAUUUUGAAUAUUCUGAUCUAGAUAGGCAGAUUCUAAAGCUACUCAACACCCCGAACCCUGUGACCACAUCUCCCAGAGCAGGGUACUGGGACUGGUUUCCGUUCCCUUGGCAUGUCCCUGAGGCAAUGCUUGAAGACACCUGUAAUUGCCACAAGACACAUUUUCCUAACCCCCAGGCUGCCAGUCAAUUGCUAGUUACCAGCUUCUGAAAACCAUACAGGGAAGGGAUUAAGAAGUGGGCUCUGGAAUUAAGCCACCUCGUUCAGUUCCUGGCCCUGCCACUCACUAAGGGAUAUUGAGCAAGUUACUUAGCUUCUGUGCCUGGAGUCUUACCCAAAACAUGCCGGUGAUAAUGACAGUGCCCGCUGUGAGGGUGAGGACCAAAGGCUCUAACACGGGGAUCCCGCUGGGCACAGUCAGGGUGAGCUGCCCUGCUAGCCUGCUGCCUAGUGUCCUGGGAGUCCAGUAAAAGCAAACCAGCACCUGCCUUGCUGCCUCUGGAGUCCCCUCUUUUCCAGAUAGAGUCCCCUUGGUAGGUGCCCUGACUCAAGGUGCCCAGGCCUCCUCCUCCUCCUCCAUAGCAGGAAGGAAGCUGGGCACCAGACCAAGAACUGGGAUGGGCCAGGCAGCAAGACUGUGGGCAGCCCAGGAAAGAGAACAAACCCACUGCCUGCCACAACAGCUGUGGGAAGGGGCUGCUGCAGAGGAUGUAGGUGGCAGGGAGGGGACCAUGCCAGGACACUCACAGAGUAAGAAGCAGCGAGCUGAUGAGUCUUAGUCCCAGGAACAAAUGAACAUUACCAGCAAUAAAAUAAUGGCUGGUUUCUGAUUCUGCUAAGUAGUAGCAUAUUAAAGAAAACUGCCAUCCUGACACCCUUCUAGAUGAGAGGAUGCUACAUUCUGACUUGGGUUUCAGCCCAGCCAGUCCUGUGAGGUGGAAGUCUCAGAACCAUCCCCAGCUCAAGAGCAAAGUCUAUACUCCAUCCAGGGGCCUCACUCAGAGCAGAAAGUCAUCACGUGGACUCAACGAAUGCCCUUAGCUGUCUUCCUGGUGGACCAGUGACCACACCUCCCACUCCAGGGGCACUGGCAAAGCAGGGCACACACCCAGGUCAAUGCCAGGAGCCGGAUCUCCCAGUAAGACUAGGGGCACUGGUAGGAGCAUCAAGCAGGGGAUCCAGACCCUGCCUGCUGUCUGCAAAGAAGGUGGUACCCCACGGCCAGCUGGUCCAGCUCAGGCACAAAGUAUUCUUGGCCCUCAGGCCAGGGUCCUGACUGCCUCCGGUGGACAGAAGAGCAAGAGCGUCUGGAAAGCAACAGUGAGCUUGUCUCCAGCAUCCACAACAGCUCCAGUGCCGGGCUUACAUAUGGCAGCAUGCAGCCUUCCCACAGCUGCCCUGUGACCUGGGUACUGAACCUCUCCCACCACCUCCCUCAGCCCCCACCCCCAGGUUAUGAAUGGGCUCUCCCGAUUAAAAGCAUGUUCUCACUGCUUGGAACAUGGUAGGUGCCUUAUAAAUGAUGGGUGGGUAGAUGGAUAGAUGGAUGAAUGGUUUUCCUAACAAAAUGGAGGACUUUGAUGAAUUGUCAUUAAUUCUCAUUGAUCUUCAGUAUUUUAUACUUCUGUAGCAAUUGGGAAUAGAAACUCUUUUAAAAAUGA